rnacentral:lncRNA from 1 species
AGCCGGCUCAUAUUCUUUAUGGGUCGACUCACCAAUACGAUGAAUUUCAUAGCUUUCUGUCUAUCUUCUAAGACUGUUCUAGGGUGGACUCACGAUCUGUUGGAGUCGACUCAUAAAAGUAAAUCAGUGAGUGAUAGUAUGUAAGGGUUGACUCAUUGCAAACUACGGGUCGACUCUUGAGAUAGCUUAGAACGAAAUUCUCUGUAUUGGCUUGUGAGCUUCCAAGGAUUGCUUCUAGGCCUUUUGGAGUUAUAUUUCUUGGUCUAGAGCUUCAGAUAAAGGAUCUUUUUCUUCUUGACCAUCA